rnacentral:sRNA from 1 species
UGGCCAUCGCUUCCGGAAGUUGUGAGCUUUGUUUCGGAGCGGGAGCUCUUCCGAGACGCACUGGGGGCUGGAUGUAGAAUCCUGCUUAUCUGUGAAAUGCAGUUAACACAUCAGCUGGACCUAUUUCCCGAAUGCAGGAUUGUUGAUCCAUUUCAGAUACUUGUGGCAGCAAACAAAGCAGUUCACCUCUACAAACUGGGAAAAAUGAAGACAAGAACUCUAUCUACUGAAAUUAUUUUCAACCUUUCCCCAAAUAACAAUAUUUCAGAGGCUUUGAAAAAAUUUGGUAUCUCAGCAAAUGACACUUCAAUUCUAAUUGUUUACAUUGAAGAGGGAGAAAAACAAAUAAAUCAAGAAUACCUAAUAUCUCAAGUAGAAGGUCAUCAGGUUUCUCUGAAAAAUCUUCCUGAAAUAAUGAAUAUUACAGAAGUCAAAAAGAGAUGUGGUCUCACUAUGUUGCCCAGAUUGGUCUCAAAAUCCUGGACUCAAGUGAUGCUUCUGCUGCGCCUCCCAAAGCGCUGGAAUUACAGGCAUGAGCCACUGAGCCCAGCUGGUUAUUGUUUCUGUUUUUAAAU